AGCGAACGCUGGCGGCAGGCCUAACACAUGCAAGUCGAACGAAGUCUUCGGACUUAGUGGCGGACGGGUGAGUAACACGCGGGAACGUACCUUUUGGUUCGGAACAACGCAGGGAAACUUGAGCUAAUACCGGAUGAGCCCUUAGGGGGAAAGAUUUAUCGCCGAAAGAGCGGCCCGCGUUAGAUUAGCUAGUUGGUGAGGUAAAGGCUCACCAAGGCUACGAUCUAUAGCUGGUCUGAGAGGAUGAUCAGCCACACUGGGACUGAGACACGGCCCAGACUCCUACGGGAGGCAGCAGUGGGGAAUCUUGCGCAAUGGGCGAAAGCAUGACGCAGCCAUGCCGCGUGAAUGAUGAAGGUCUUAGGAUUGUAAAAUUCUUUUCCCAGGGACGAUAAUGACGGUACCUGGAGAAAAAGCCCCGGCUAACUUCGUGCCAGCCGCCGCCGUAAAAC
rnacentral:rRNA from 1 species